GUCCACGCCCUAAACGAUGUCAACUAGGUGUUGGGAGGGUAAACCUUUUAGUACCGGAGCUAACGCGUGAAGUUGACCGCCUGGGGAGUACGGCCGCAAGGUUAAACUCAAAGGAAUUGACGGGGACCCGCACAAGCGGUGGAUGAUGUGGAUUAAUUCGAUGCAACGCGAAAACCUUACCUACCCUUGACAUGCCAAGAACUUUCCAGAGAUGGAUUUGGUGCCCGAAAGGGAGCUUGGACACAGGUGCUGCAUGGCUGUCGU
rnacentral:rRNA from 1 species